AGAGGAUUUACCCUGGUAGUCCACGCCCUAAACGAUGUCUACUAGUUGUCGGGUCUUAAUUGACUUGGUAACGCAGCUAACGCGUGAAGUAGACCGCCUGGGGAGUACGGUCGCAAGAUUAAAACUCAAAGGAAUUGACGGGGACCCGCACAAGCGGUGGAUGAUGUGGAUUAAUUCGAUGCAACGCGAAAAACCUUACCUACCCUUGACAUGGCAGGAAUCCCGGAGAGAUUUGGGAGUGCUCGAAAGAGAACCUGCACACAGGUGCUGCAUGGCUGUCGUCAGCUCGUGUCG
rnacentral:rRNA from 1 species